ACGUAGUAUGUCCGUAUAUACGGUCUUGAAUGAAAAUAAUAGAGUGUAUAAGUGCAGAACGUAUGCGCUGUAAAAAGAUGAAAAAAAGAUAAAUAGAGAAGAAAAAACUAAUGAGACUAAAUUGUGAUACAUAUCUAUCCUAAUUUUACUCAAUCAUCAACAAUGAAUAAAAAGAUAUAUGUUUGGACUCUUGAAAUAACCUAUAAUAAACUUAGAUUUCAG
rnacentral:lncRNA from 1 species